rnacentral:lncRNA from 1 species
UUUAUUUACCUUCUUCUUUCGCGUCUUUAUUCGCAUUCUUCUGCUCUGUAACGUUGUGAGGGCGCGCUCCCCUUAAUAACGCGCACUCCGAGAGUCUUUGCCAGCGGAGCGUGGAUUUCUCGUUCGUUUGGGGACAAAUAGAGGGCGUUUGACAGCGUUAGUGCGUGUGUGUGCGUUGGUUGCGUGAAAGAAACGCACAAAGAGGUCGACAAAUCCAUACACAGUCACUGAGCAAAACACAUUUACCUGAACAGACUAACAAAGACAAACAGACACACGGGGGCAACUAAAGACAAAUACAUCUAAAAAAAAGGUCAGUCAGUAAGUUACAAGUAAUUAUCAAACGAAGCCAAAAACAACAAUAUGUAAAGAACUUAUUUAAUUCACCAAAUGACAAAAUAAACUGAACCAGAACCUAAACUCCCCCUCGAAAGUUUGGACAGUGGUUCACUCUAAUGAGCCACUUCCUGUAAAAUGGCGUCAUGUUCAGUCAGCCACGAUCCUCCAGCCCCAGCGGCCUCAACACGCUCCGCCUGCUGGACCCACACGCUUGGUGAACUGGAGGUGGGAGCGCGGACCGGCGCCAGACGUCCUUGAGUCCGACCCUGUUAGAAAACCUUGCCGUCGGGCGUCCUGUGGCCCAGCGCUCAUUACUGCUGCAAGGAUCUUGGGUGACUCUUUAAAGAUGCUUAAAAAUUAAAUGUACCCUGUAUUAGAACAAAACACUGUGAUUCUUUCAGUGCAUUAAAAGUUUUAACAGAUAAAAAUGCACCUCUCAAAAUAUUAC